CCUACGGGAUGCAGCAGUGGGGGAUAUUGCACAAUGGGGGGAACCCUGAUGCAGCGACGCCGCGUGGGUGAAGAAGCGCCUCGGCGCGUAAAGCCCUGUCAGCAGGGAAGAAAAUGACGGUACCUGAAGAAGAAGCCCCGGCUAACUACGUGACAGCAGCCGCCGUAAUACGUAGGGGGCAAGCGUUAUCCGGAAUUACUGGGUGUAAAGGGGGCGCAGACGGCGAUGCAAGCCAGGAGUGAAAGCCCGGGGACCAACACCGGGACUGCUCUUGGAACUGCGUGGCUGGAGUGCAGGAGGGGCAGGCGGAAUUCCUGGUGUAGCGGUGAAAUGCGUAGAUAUCAGGAGGAACACCGGUGGCGAAGGCGGCCUGCUGGACUGCAACUGACGUUGAGGCCCGAAAGCGUGGGGAGCAAACAGGAUUAGAUACCCGAGUAGUC
rnacentral:rRNA from 1 species